rnacentral:rRNA from 1 species
UACGUAGGGACCAAGCGUUGUUCGGAUUUACUGGGCGUAAAGGGCGCGUAGGCGGCGCGGUAAGUCACUUGUGAAAUCUCUGAGCUUAACUCAGAACGGCCAAGUGAUACUGCAGUGCUAGAGUGUGGAAGGGGCAAUCGGAAUUCUUGGUGUAGCGGUGAAAUGCGUAGAUAUCAAGAGGAACACCUGAGGUGAAGACGGGUUGCUGGGCCAACACUGACGCUGAGGCGCGAAAGCGUGGGGAGCGAACAGG